rnacentral:tRNA from 1 species
GCCUGGGUGGCUCAGUUGGUUGAGCGUCCGACUUCGGCUCGGGUCAUGAUCUCUUGGUUCGUGAGUUCGAGCCCCGCGUUGGGCU